rnacentral:rRNA from 1 species
GACGAACGCUGGCGGCGUGCUUAACACAUGCAAGUCGAGCGGUAAGGCCCUUUCGGGGGUACACGAGCGGCGAACGGGUGAGUAACACGUGGGUGACCUGCCUCAGCUCUGGGAUAAGCCUGGGAAACUGGGUCUAAUACUGGAUAUGACUCCACGGUGCAUGUCGUGGGGUGGAAAGCCUUGUGCGGCUGAGGAUGGGCCCGCGGCCUAUCAGCUUGUUGGUGGGGUGANGGCCUACCAAGGCGACGACGGGUAGCCGGCCUGAGAGGGCGACCGGCCACACUGGGACUGAGACACGGCCCAGACUCCUACGGGAGGCAGCAGUGGGGAAUCUUGCGCAAGUGGGCGAAAGCCUGACGCAGCGACGCCGCGUGAGGGAUGACGGCCU